AUGAUUGGCCUAAAAGGUCGACAAGAAAAUGUAGUCCCUAGUGACCCAUUUUUCAUUCAACAGUUUUGGAAUUCCGCAUUUCCCAGGUUAAACCGGGAUAUUCUGGAACUGAGCUAUCCUAGUCUCAUUGUAAGUGGUUCAUUUGUCUCUGAACGUGGCUCCCAUCGCAGAGGAAGCCCUGGUGUGGCUUUGGGGCUAGGAAUAAAGGCUGGUGGCGCUGCUUUGUCCUGUGAGCUCCCACAUGUGUCACCAAGUGCAAAACACAGGNNNNNNGCAGUGUGACCAUCUCCUGAGCAGGCUCGAGGCUCUUUCCCUGACACCUCAGGCACCUGACAUUUAACCAGCCUCCUGGAAAAUAUUUUGUAUCAAGCAUUUACCUGGAAAAAUUAACCAUGUUAUUUAACAUUUACUGAUAUUUGUACACUGUAUACCAAUGUUCUUUUUGACAUUGAUUUUCUCACCAUGAGAGAUAUUUAAGUGAAACUUGUAAAUAAAAGAGGCAAAAUGAGAUUUGGCUUCUUUCGGUUUUGAACAUUUGUAUUUGUAAGGUCCUUAGGGUACUAGAUUAGGCCAGCCUUUGUUUCACGACCUGUAUCUAGCCACGGAAGGUUUUAGUUUGUUCAGGAGUCCACCCGAGGGACUUCUCUGGUCUGGUGACUGCCUCCCAAUGCAGGCAUGCAGGUUUGAUCCUUGGCUGGGGAGCUAAGAUCCCACAUGCGUUGGGGCCAAAAAUCCAAAACAUGAAACAAGCAGUACUGUAGCAAAUGUGAUAAAGACUUUAAAAAUGUUCCACAUCAAAAAAAAAGGCUACCCUAAAGAAGUUUUCUCUGUCAAUUUUUGGUGUCUGCUAGCCACACAGGGACGAGGAACCCUAGUGGGCUGCCGUGUAUGGGGUCGCACAGAGUCGAACACGACUGACGUGACUUAGCAGCGGCAGCAGCAGCAGCCACACAGGAAGUCCUUGCUUAGCGUUAACUUGUAUGGAGAGCUGAAAAGAAGGAAAAGAGAUGCUUUUGUUGUGAUGGUCUCCACACGAUCAGGGCUGAGGCUUGCUGGGACUUCACAUUAUUUAACUGGCCUUGUAAAACCAGCUUCUUUGUUAAUUUUAAAUUCAGAGCCAGCUUUGGGGAAAGAUCUACCCAGCUACUUGAAGAGUCCACUUGAUCCCACCUCCACUGACUGAGCCAUAUCUCUGCCUCUGAGUGAUACAACUCACAAAGACCGCUCUGAUGGGUACUUCUUAAAAUGCAAAUAACAACUAUUAGGUUGGUAAUUUUAGUGUGGGCUAGUGUCGUUAAUUGGAAAAGACCCUAAUGCUGGGAAAGAUUGAAGGCAGGAGAAGGGGGUGACAGGAUGAGAUGGUUGGACGGCAUUACCUACUCAAUGGACAUGGGUUUGAGCAAACUUCUGGAGAUGGUGAAGGGCAGGGGAGACUGGUGUGCUGCAGCCCAUGGGGUCACAAAGAGUCGAUACAUCUUAGCAACUGAAUAACAACAAAGGGUGGUUAAACUGGGCCUUGAAGAGCAGCUUUGAGGGAGAGAAAGGUGAAAAUAAUGGAGCUAUUUCCUUCUUUGUAACAUGAUAAAAACAGGCCCAGAGGCUUGAAAACUUCCUGACACUACAAUAGGGCACAUAUUUGAACUGAGUCCACUGCCCCAAGCACUUGUCCCAAUGCUGGCCUUUCAGAAAGGGAAAAUGCAGGAAAAUCUCAUGGCACAGUUUUGGCCCAGGUGGGUGGGAUGGGGUAAAGAAGUAGGUUCUUCAGACAAGAAGCUGAUAGAUAACCCAUACAUUCCAAUAUCCCAUCAUUUUGAAACUUAAUAAAAAUAUGUGCUGAUGACAAGCACUGUAGACCUCAGACCCGUUGCAACCAGAAGGUUGAUAAUUGGGAUUACCAAAACAUUACCCUCUUACCUCUCCACCGACAAGUCAGAUCAAAGUCNNNNNNNNNNNNNNNNNNNNNNNNNNNNNNNNNNNNNNNNNNNNNNNNNNNNNNNNNNNNNNNNNNNNNNNNNNNNNNNNNNNNNNNNNNNNNNNNNNNAAACAUUACCCUCUUACCUCUCCACCGACAAGUCAGAUCAAAGUCACACAUCCUGCAGCUCUCACCCUAAAUGGUGCCUUUAAAAAAUACCUCUAGGGCUGCCCUGGUGGCUCAGUGGUGAAGAAUCCACCGGCCAGUGCUGGAAACGGGGGGUCGUUCCCUGGUCUGGGAGGAUCCCACAUGCCGCAGAGCAACUGGGCGCUGUGCCACGACUACUGAGCCUGUGCUCUAGAGCUUGGGAACCACAACUACUGAACCCCACGUGCCUGGAGCUCAGGCUCCAAAACAAGAGAAGCCACCACAACGAGAUGCCUUCAGGACUAUGUAAAUCACACACACACACACACACACACACACACACAUAUAAUGGCGCCAUGACAGUUUGAGGCAGACCAUAAAAUGCUGAAGCUGAAGCUCCAAUACUUAGGCCACUUGAUGAGAAUGAAGCCAACUCAUUCGAAAAGACCCUGAUGCUGGGAAAGAUUGAAGGCAGGAGGAG
rnacentral:lncRNA from 1 species